GUCGAACGCUGGCGGCGUGCUUAACACAUGCAAGUCGAACGGAAAGGCCCUGCUUUUGUGGGGUGCUCGAGUGGCGAACGGAUGAGUAACACGUGAGUAACCUGCCCUUGACUUUGGGAUAACUUCAGGAAACUGGGGCUAAUACCGGAUAGGAGCUCCUGCUGCAUGGUGGGGGUUGGAAAGUUUCGGCGGUUGGGGAUGGACUCGCGGCUUAUCAGCUUGUUGGUGGGGUAGUGGCUUACCAAGGCUUUGACGGGUAGCCGGCCUGAGAGGGUGACCGGCCACAUUGGGACUGAGAUACGGCCCAGACUCCUACGGGAGGCAGCAGUGGGGAAUAUUGCACAAUGGGCGGAAGCCUGAUGCAGCAACGCCGCGUGCGGGAUGACGGCCUUCGGGUUGUAAACCGCUUUCGCCUGUGACGAAGCGUGAGUGACGGUAAUGGGUAAAGAAGCACCGGCUAACUACGUG
rnacentral:rRNA from 1 species